AUGUAUGACACUCGAGAAAAUACAACUGUAGGAAACGUGCUUUUCUUUACAUUUGUCAGGACUGAACACAGAAGACUCACCAUGGAAUUUCAGGCUGAGCUGGGUUUUCCUUGUUGCUAUUUUAAGAGGUGUCCAGUGUGAGAUGCAACUGGUGGAGUCUGGGGGAGGCUUGGUUCAGCCUGGGGGGUCCCUGAGACUCUCCUGUGCAGCCUCUGGAUUCACCUUCAGCAGCUAUCACAUGCAUUAGGUCCACCAGGCUCCAGGGAAGGGGCUGGAGUGGGUCUCAGCUAUUCGUACUGGUGGUAGCACAUACUACACAGACGCCGUGAAGGGCCGAUUCACCAUCUCCAGAGACAACGCCAAGAACUCGCUGUAUCUGCAGAUGAACAGCCUGAGAGCCGAGGACACGGCCGUGUAUUACUGUGCGAGAGACACAGUGAGGGGAAGUCAGUGUGAGCCCAGACACAAACCUCCUGCAGGGACACUCGGGGGAAUCAGCUGCAGGGGGCGCUCAGGACCCACUGAUCAGAGUCAACCCCAGAGGCAGCCAGAAAAGAGCAAACGUCAGCUUUACACCUGGAGACUUCCUGUAUCUGUCACAGACCAGAGAAAGAAGACCACUACAGCAUUAAAAUUCAGCGGGAAGAACAUGUAA